GACGAUCCCUAGCUGGUCUGAGAGGAUGACCAGCCACACUGGAACUGAGACACGGUCCAGACUCCUACGGGAGGCAGCAGUGGGGAAUAUUGCACAAUGGGGGCAAGCCUGAUGCAGCCAUGCGGCGUGUAUGAAGAAGGCCUUCGGGUUGUAAAGUACUUUCAGCGGGGAGGAAGGGAGUAAAGUUAAUACCAUAAUCAUGACGUACCCGCA
rnacentral:rRNA from 1 species